rnacentral:rRNA from 1 species
GAUGAACGCUAGCGGCAGGCCUAAUACAUGCAAGUCGAACGCGAUUAGGGAGCUUGCUCCCUAUGAAAGUGGCGCACGGGUGCGUAACGCGUAUGCAACCUACCUUAAUCAGGGGGAUAGCCCGAAGAAAUUCGGAUUAACACCGCAUAAAAUCACAGACCGGCAUCGGUUAAUGAUCAAAUAUUUAUAGGAUUAAGAUG